rnacentral:lncRNA from 1 species
AAAAUGCAGCGUGGAGGUGGUGUGAAUCUCUUCUUUCUUUGCUGGAUCAAGGCAUUGCUGAUGGAGCGUGGAGCUGCAGCUGGAACAAGCCGAGACAUGUUACUCCAAAGCUUCAUGGAAGUUUGCCAAGUGUGGGCCGUGAUGCCACUUUGCUUUUUUUUCCAAUUGCAAAUAGCGUCAGACCUUGGAUAUAUGAAGGUUGGAUAGGAGCUGUUGUGUACGUGGAGGUCUUC